UACGUAGGGGGCAAGCGUUAUCCGGAUUUACUGGGUGUAAAGGGAGCGUAGGCGGUUCGGUAAGUCUGGUGUGAAAGCCCGGGGCUCAACCCCGGGAUUGCAUUGGAAACUAUCGAACUUGAGUGUCGGAGAGGUAAGUGGAAUUCCUAGUGUAGCGGUGAAAUGCGUAGAUAUUAGGAGGAACACCAGUGGCGAAGGCGACUUACUGGACGAUAACUGACGCUGAGGCUCGAAAGCGUGGGGAGCAAACAGGAUUAGAUACCUUGGUAGUCCACGCCGUAAACGAUGAAUACUAGGUGUCGGGGGUCAUAAGACCUUCGGUGCCGCAGCUAACGCAAUAAGUAUUCCACCUGGGGAGUACGUUCGCAAGAAUGAA
rnacentral:rRNA from 1 species